CCUACGGGGGGCAGCAGUGGGGAAUUUUGGACAAUGGGCGCAAGCCUGAUCCAGCCAUUCCGCGUGAGUGAAGAAGGCCUUCGGGUUGUAAAGCUCUUUCGCAAGGGAAGAAAACUUAUCCUCUAACAUAGGAUGAGGUUGACGGUACCUUGAUAAGAAGCACCGGCUAACUACGUGCCAGCAGCCGCGGUAAUACGUAGGGUGCAAUCGUUGAUCGGAGUUACUGGGCGUAAAGCGUGGUCAGGUUGUUAAUCCCCGAGCUCAACUUGGGAACUGCGUUUGAAACUACAAGACUAGAAUAGGUCAGAGGGGGGUAGAAUGCCACGUGUAGCAGGGAAAUGCGUAGAGAUGUGGAGGAAUAUCAAUGGCGAAGGCAGCCCCCUGGGAUCAUAUUGACGCUCAUGCACGAAAGCGUGGGGAGCAAACAGGAUUAGAUACCCGGGUAGUC
rnacentral:rRNA from 1 species